rnacentral:rRNA from 1 species
UACGUAGGGUGCAAGCGUUAAUCGGAAUUACUGGGCGUAAAGCGUGCGCAGGCGGUUCGCUAAGACAGAUGUGAAAUCCCCGGGCUUAACCUGGGAACUGCAUUUGUGACUGGCGGGCUAGAGUAUGGCAGAGGGGGGUAGAAUUCCACGUGUAGCAGUGAAAUGCGUAGAGAUGUGGAGGAAUACCGAUGGCGAAGGCAGCCCCCUGGGCCAAUACUGACGCUGAUGCACGAAAGCUAGGGGAGCAAACAGG